CAGAGCAACACAGGACAGAGGUCAGAGGUCAGCCACCUCAGUUAGUGAGCUAAUAAAUAAAAGUGGAUUUAGGCCCUGGCUUCUUUAGUGAAUAAUAUGAAUAAUAUGACAUAUAUAUCUAGUCAGAGCAACUCAUCCUCUACUCAUCCUCUACUCAGAGAAUCUAAUCCUCUACUCAGAGCAACUCAUCCUCUAUAUCCUCCUUUACUCAUCCUCUACUCAUCCUCUACUCAGAGAAACAUAUCCUCUACUCAGAGCAACUCAUCCUCUACUCAGAGAAACAUAUCCUCUACUCAGAGAAACAUAUCCUCUACUCAGAGCAACUCAUCCUCUACUCAGAGAAACAUAUCCCCUACUCAGAGCAACUCAUUCUCUACUCAGAGAAACAUAUCCUCUACUCAGAGAAACAUAUCCUCUACUCAGAGCAACUCAUCCUCUACUCAGAGAAACAUAUCCCCUACUCAGAGCAACUCAUUCUCUACUCAGAGAAACAUAUCCUCUACUCAGAGAAACAUAUCCUCUACUCAGAGCAACUCAUUCUCUACUCAGAGCAACUCACCCUCUACUCAUGCUCUACUCAGAGCAACUCACCCUCUACUCAUCCUCUACUCAGAGCAACUCAUCAUCUAAUCAUCCUCUAAUCAUCCUGUACUCAUCCUCUACUCAGAGAAUGUCGUCCUCUACUCAGAGAAACUCAUCCUCUACUCAGAGCAACUCAUCCUCUACUCAGAGAAACUCAUCCUCUACUCAGAGCAACUCAUCCUCUACUCAGAGAAACUCAUCCUCUACUCAGAGAAUGUCGUCCUCUACUCAGAGAAACAUAUCAUCAACUCAGAGAAACUCCUCCUCUACUCAGAGAAUGUCAUCCUCUACUCAGAGCAACAAUAUCACUUUUAUGAGUCCUUGAUGGAGGGGAAUUUGAAAUGUUCAUUAUAACUUUCAUGAACAUGUAUGAGUUCUUUAGAACAACAUUAGAACAUGUAUGAGUUCUUUAGAACAACAUUAGAACAUGUAUGAGUUCUUUAGAACAACAUUAGAACAUGUAUGAGUUCUUUAGAACCACAUUAUAUAUGGACUGUACCAAGUGUUUCUAAGGGAUGCAGUAUAUAUGGACUGUACCAAGUGUUUCUAAGGUAUGCAGUAUAUAUGGACUGUACCAAGUGUUUCUAAGGUAUGCAGUAUAUAUGGACUGUACCAAGUGUUUCUAAGGGAUGCAGUAUAUAUGGACUGUACCAAGUGUUUCUAAGGUAUGCAGUAUAUAUGGACUGUACCAAGUGUUUCUAAGGUAUGCAGUAUAUAUGGACUGUACCAAGUGUUUCUAAGGUAUGCAGUAUAUAUGGACUGUACCAAGUGUUUCUAAGGGAUGCAGUAUAUAUGGACUGUACCAAGUGUUUCUAAGGUAUGCAGUAUAUAUGGACUGUACCAAGUGUUUCUAAGGUAUGCAGUAUAUAUGGACUGUACCAAGCGUUUCUAAGGUAUGCAGUAUAUAUGGACUGUACCAAGUGUUUCUAAGGGAUGCAGUAUAUAUGGACUGUACCAAGUGUUUCUAAGGUAUGCAGUAUAUAUGGACUGUACCAGGUGUUGGUAAGGUAUGGACUGUACCAAGUGUUUCUAAGGUAUGCAGUAUAUAUGGACUGUACCAGGUGUUGGUAAGGUAUGGACUGUACCAGGUGUUGUUAAGGUAUGGACUGUACCAGGUGUUGGUAAGGUAUGGACUGUACCAGGUGUUGUUAAGGUAUGGACUGUACCAGGUGUUGGUAAGGUAUGGACUGUACCAGGUGUUGGUAAGGUAUGGACUGUACCAGGUGUUGGUAAGGUAUGAACUGUACCAGGUGUUGGUAAGGUAUGGACUGUACCAGGUGUUGGUAAGGUAUGGACUGUACCAGGUGUUGGUAAGGUAUGGACUGUACCAGGUGUUGUUAAGGUAUGGACUGUACCAGGUGUUGGUAAGGUAUGGACUGUACCAGGUGUUGUUAAGGUAUGGACUGUACCAGGUGUUGUUAAGGUAUGAACUGUACCAGGUGUUGGUAAGGUAUGGACUGUACCAGGUGUUGUUAAGGUAUGGACUGUACCAGGUGUUGGUAAGGUAUGGACUGUACCAGGUGUUGUUAAGGUAUGGACUGUACCAGGUGUUGUUAA